rnacentral:tRNA from 1 species
UUCUAAUAUGGCAGAUUAGUGCAAUGGAUUUAAGCCCCAUAUAUAAAGUUUUUUACUUUUUUUAGAA